GCGUGCCAAUAAGAUGGCAGCCACAACGCAAAGCGGAAAUCCAAUAAUUGUCCAGUUGCGUGCGGUUCAAUGCGACUAAUGCGCCAACAACAACUAAUCCUCCAGGACCAACGUUUUCACAGUUCAGUGUGGCAGAACCGCGCGUUUGUGCUGUAACAUCCGGCCCAGUGCGUACCGCCUCGAAAUACAUCGAUUAUCACUAAGGAAAGGACGAAACAAGAUAUUGCAAAACAAUGGAGAACUUCAAUUUGAAGAAUAUCGUUAAAGAUGCUGGGGCUGCAAUCAGUCGAGCUGUACAGUUUGCCGAAGAGAAAAUUGGUCAUGCCGAACGCACAGAACUUGAUGGCCAAUUUGAGAAUCUGUGGGAUCGUGCAGAUGCUACCAAACAAUGGACGGAAAAACUUGUGAAGAACACCGAGGCGGUGUUAAUGCCUAAUCCUGGUAAUAGAAUUGAAGAUUUUGUUUAUGAAAAGAUAGAGAAGAAGAAACCUGCUCGGCUUACCAACAUGGAAUACCUGGGUUUGGAUAUGAUUGAAGCAGGAAAUGUUUUUGGGCCAGGGACAGGCUAUGGCGGAGCGUUGAUUAAAGUUGGUCUUUGUCAGCAAAGACUCGGGCAGACCGAAAGGGAAUUUAUUGGGUCAGCUGGAAUAGGGUACACACAACCCCUGAGGAAAUUUUUGGAUAAUGAAAUGAAGAAUAUUAUCAAAGAGAAAGGUGUUUUAGAAGGAAAAAGGCUUGAUUUGGACGCUUGCAAAAAUCGUGUGAGGAAAGCUCGUAGCAUGUUGGGACAACCAACUAAAGAUGGCGUCUCUCCUGAAAUCACUUUAGAUCAGGCUGAAAAAGAUUUAAGAAUCGCGCAAUCCGAGUUUGAUCGCCAGGUGGAAAUUACUCGUUUAUUACUGGAAGGCAUCAGUAAUUCGCAUAACACGCAUAUGCGUUUGCUCUACGAAUUCGUCGAAACACAAUCGCGUUAUUUCGCAGAAUGCAGUAAAACUAUGACGGAGCUACAGGAAGAACUCGCAAGUUCGGCCAAGCCCGGCCCAAUUCUGCGAAUCAAUAGCGAAGAUCUCGAACCCGCCGUACCAAACACAAACUCGUACAUGUCGAAUUCGAUUGCGUCCGCGGUCGAAGACAUAAAUCUCUCGUCAAUUUAAUGAUCCUAGCUGUGUGAUUAUAUCGAUGUUCUGAUGGCGGAUUACGGCCUUAACACAAACUCAUUCUUCAGCGCUACUAAUUGUUACUUUGCUACCUUGCAGUCUAUACAUAUGCUUUAUCGUUCUUUCAAAUAUCUUCUCUAGUAAAUAUGUAAAACGUUGUGCUAAUUUGCUAAGUUUGCCGGAAAACGAAAUCAAAUCAAAUGGGUCUUCCUGCAAAUUGUACAGCUUAACGAAAUUUCAAUGGACCUAUCUCUAAGCUAAACGUAUUUAUCAACAAUUGCACAUGUUAUAAAUAAUGCACAUUAAAAAAAGUGAUGUUCACAACCUAGUCAAUGUUUAUGCACUCCUAGUCAAUAAUUACUGUCAACAAAUUUGAAAAUAGAGUGAAAAUCCUAUAAAUAUUUUCGGUGGUAGUUAUGAAACUAAAAUAAUGUAUUAUGUAAAAAAGAAAAUAUUGUUGCACAUCAAUAAAGUUGAUUACUGUA